GACGAACGCUGGCGGCGUGCCUAAUACAUGCAAGUAGAACGCACAGUUUAUACCGUAGCUUGCUACACCAUAGACUGUGAGUUGCGAACGGGUGAGUAACGCGUAGGUAACCUGCCUGGUAGCGGGGGAUAACUAUUGGAAACGAUAGCUAAUACCGCAUAAUAUUAAUUAUUGCAUGAUAAUUAAUUGAAAGGUGCAAUUGCACCACUACCAGAUGGACCUGCGUUGUAUUAGCUAGUAGGUGAGGUAACGGCUCACCUAGGCGACGAUACAUAGCCGACCAGAGAGGGUGAUCGGCCAAACUGGGACUGAGACACGGCCCAGACUCCUACGGGAGGCAGCAGUAGGGAAUCUUCGGCAAUGGACGAAAGUCUGACCGAGCAACGCCGCGUGAGUGAAGAAGGGUUUCGGAUCGUAAAGCUCUGUUGUAAGAGAAGAACGGGUGUGAGAGUGGAAAGUUCACACUGUGACGGUAUCUUACCAGAAAGGGACGGCUAACUACGUG
rnacentral:rRNA from 1 species